UACGAAGGACCCGAGCGUUAUCCGGAUUUAUUGGGUUUAAAGGGUGCGUAGGCGGACUUAUAAGUCAGUGGUGAAAUCCCUCAGCUUAACUGAGGAACUGCCAUUGAAACUAUUUGUCUUGAGUACAUUUGAGGCGGGCGGAAUGUGUCAUGUAGAGGUGAAAUUCUUAGAUAUGACACAGAACACCAAUUGCGAAGGCAGCUCGCUAAACUGUAACUGACGCUGAGGCACGAAAGCGUGGGUAGCAAACAGG
rnacentral:rRNA from 1 species